AUCAGAAAUCACUAAGAAUAAAUUUUUUGGUAAGACAGAAGAAGGCAGUCAGCAUGUCCCCACCAUUUCAACUUCUGAAGUAAAUUCAUGCAGAUGUCUCCUACAGCUCUCAUAUAGCCUUCAUUGUUACAUGCAGAUGCAUUUGACAGUAUAGGUGGAAGAAAGCUAGUUAUUUGCAUGUAAGGUGGCUAUCCCUUUGUUCCAUUGUGUGCGCUAUUUUCUCGCUUAACAGCUCUGGGUAAAAAUAUGAAACCACGUGUAUGGUGGUGACCAAAGCUGAUACAAGAAGGAGAAGAAUC
rnacentral:misc_RNA from 1 species